ensembl:lncRNA
UCGUGAGUUAAUCCAAUAUGCUGUUCAGCACAUUGCCUAAUGAGCAUGUAUUUUCUGGGAGAACAGACUGGAGGGGACCCUUCUCUCCCCCCUCCCUGCCCCCAGCAGCCUUUACGGAGGCAUUUCUGGCAUCAUCGAAGUGGAUUUCCUUUCCUAGGGCCUCUCUGACUUUCGUGAUUCGGGCUGUGCACAGGGGUUCUCUGCUUUUAGUCUCUCAUUCCGUAUUUCCCAAAUGCCUCUCAGUGCCAGGCCUUUUGCGAGGUUCAGAAAUGAGGAGGACCCUCUCCUGCCGUGAGCAGCGCCGUGUCUACACUGAGGGCUCUUACGCAGUGCAAUUCCAGAGUGAACCAAAGAAGAAGACUCAGCCGUGAGUUCCCAGGGAGCCUCCAUGUGCUGGCAGGAAAACCACACUCCAAGCACGUUUUCAACGAGCAGUCUAAACCACUUGAAUUCGGGUCUCGAAAACCAAGAAACCAGUUCUAAGUGUUUUCACCUCUCCCACUGUUUCCUCCUAAAUUUCAUUAGGGCUGACAAUUUGUAUAUCCACUUACAGUGUAAUGUGAUUUAAAUGGCUGACCGUAACUGUUAGAGAUGGAGUUUUCCCAGGGUGUGGGGAGCAGAGGAGGCAGCCGGGGAGGCUUCCCAGCACAGUCGGGCCCUCUCCGCAUCCGUGCAGUACUUUAAAGGCCUGGAUGAGGCUUGUCAGACAUGGUGUCCACCCUAGGAGAUGGGAGGGGCAGCCUCUUGCCCUCCUUCCCUCUUCACCCCGCAAUCACUUUUGUUCUUGGAGGCCGAGCUAUCUUGGAGUUUUCGGCAUGCAAUAAAACACACGCGACCACAAGGCUCUUGUCGAGCCAGGACGGCUGCAGGAGAAAGCCAAGCCCGCUGGCUGGACCGUCUCCAUGGUUAGGCGGAAUUGAUAGUGUGUCCUGAUUCGUGGCUUGCUUUUUUGUUUUGGCUUUGUAACUAAAACAGAGCCGAUGCCUCCGAGAUGGGAAAUUCAGUUUUAUUUUGUCCCCUAUCAAUGUUUCACACACAUCGUGUAUGUCUGUGUGUGUGUGUGAAGCAGUUUGUCACGGGUUGGAUUUGGGUUGAAUCCUUGUGCUGUCUCAUGCAGUGAUCUCAGGCAUGUCAUUUUGCCUCUCUGAGUAUCAGUUUCUUCAUCUGUAAAACUAAGCUGGUGUUCCCUGCCUUGCGUAAUUAAUUAGGUGAAGUAUCUAGAACUGCACUGUCCAAUACAGGAGCCAUUAGCCACAUGUGGCUGUUUAAAUUUAAGUUAAUUAAAAUAAAAUAAAAUAAAAUACUGGGCUCCUCAGUCGUACGAGCCACAUCUCAAGUGCUCAGUAGCCACAUAUUUGAAAUGGCAGCAUAGCUGUGGGAUUUUCCAUCAUUGAGGAAAGUUCUACUGGAAGCACUGGCCCGGAGCCAUGCCUGCACCCAUUAGGUGCUCAGUAUGCACCCAAAGGAGGAAUUGUGCCCUCCACGACCUUUCAGCAGCACAAGCACCUGUGGUUGAAGUAAGUCAUAAAUACAUCUCGCAGAGAGCACUUUCCUCCAGAAUUCAGACUUUGAAACUCACAGAUCAGCUGUCUUGUUCUGUGGAGCCCUUUUCUUGUAUGUAUAAUGUCCAAACAUGGGAAAAUACGCCACAGAGAGGCAGACGCAACGCGAGAACAGCAAAGAUUGCAAAAUGCAAAUGGAGGCUGUAGUAUGGCAGGUGUUGAGUGUGCCAAUGGCUCUGGGCCGUAUUAGUUAAGGUUCUUUUAACUGCAAUCACAGAAUCCAGCU